UCUUAUGAGAAAAAAAAUAAAAGCAAAAUAACUCCUUGCACCUUUUUGCUUGACUGGUCAUUGCCAAAUAAGAGUGCAUAUAUUUUAAAAUUUAAUAUUUAUUUGCAAAUACAUGUAUUCAAUGGCAUGUAAAGUGACUAUGCUUUAUACCUUAAGUGUUUUAGUACAACAUUUUUCUCUAUUUAGCAAACUUUAUCAAAUGUUGCAAAUCUGGUCCUUUUUUACACCUUUACUAUGAAGGCAGCAUUCUGUACACUUUGUAGUUAUCGAUCUCUCCGUAUCUGAUUUUAUAUUUGUUUUAUUGUUGUUGUUUUUUUAUUGCCAUUAGAAAUAUAAAUUAGUAGCUAGUGUGUGUUUAAAAUUACCACAAAUUACCCUACAUUCAGUCUACAUUUAUCACCCAUAAAAUCUUGAGUGAAGUAAAUCAGUGGUAACAAAGUGGACACAAAGUCAGAUAGUUUCAUUUAUGGUUACAUUCAGAUUAAAAAAAAAUAUUUCAUAUGUGCCUGUAUCCUAACACCCAAAAAAUUGCAUAUUUAACACGCAGUUUAGAAUGUACUAAGUAAAUGAUAACCAUUCAUAAGUUUAAACCUAUUUAUUUUAGCUUGAUUACAUCGAAGGCCUAAGGCAUAUUGAAACGCUCUUAAGUCUGUUUCCUGACGUCUCUGGGGGAGAUCUAAAGAAUGCCCUCACUGUGGGGAUCGAGCCCAUGAGGUCACAGUCACUAGAUGAACAUCAUAUCCACUACUUGAACCCAUGAGGUCACAGUCACUAGAUGAACAUCAUAUCCACUACUGAACCCAUGAGGUCACAGUCACUAGAUGAACAUCAUAUCCACUACUUGAACCCAUGAGGUCACAGUCACUAGAUGAACAUCAUAUCCACUACUUGAACCCAUGAGGUCACAGUCACUAGAUGAACAUCAUAUCCACUACUUGAACCCAUGAGGUCACAGUCACUAGAUGAACAUCAUAUCCACUACUUGAACCCACGAGGUCACAGUCACUAGAUGAACAUCAUAUCCACUACUGAACCCAUGAGAUCACAGUCACUAGAUCAACAUCAUAUCCACUACUUGAACCCAUGAGGUCACAGUCACUAGAUAAACAUCAUAUCCACUACUUUUAUGAAACAUAGUUGAAAAGUAACAUAUGGCCUUGGCACUGCACUAAUUAUUGGAAGUUUGAAACUGCCUGAAUCCAUUUUUUCAUGUUUGUGUGUUUGUUGAAUGUUUGUUUAUAAUGUCUGAUACAUCUGGUUUGCAUCUCGAUGUUUGGCCACAUAGGACCACGUGGCAAUAAGGUCUCUUGCAGCUGAAGUUCCAGAGUGUGUAGAUGUGUACAAUGACCAUACUUAUUACACUUGUCUUCUAUGAUAACCUAGGGGCUUUGUAUGCCCUUGGAAUGUGGGCCUUUUCUUCUUUCAAUCCCUUUCUAAUGUCA